UACAGAGACUGCGAGCGUUAUUCGGAUUCACUGGGCGUAAAGGGUGCGCAGGCGGCCGUGUGUGUCAGGUGUGAAAUCUCGAGGCUUAACCUCGAAAUUGCGCCUGAAACUACACGGCUAGAGUACUGGAGAGGGAAACGGAAUUCACGGUGUAGCAGUGAAAUGCGUAGAUAUCGUGAGGAACACCAGAGGCGAAGGCGGUUUCCUGGACAGUUACUGACGCUCAGGCACGAAAGCGUGGGGAGCAAAAGGGAUUAGAUACCCCUGUAGUCCACGCCCUAAACGGUGCACACUAGGUCUUGGCGGAUUCGACCCCACCAGGGCCCAAGCUAACGCGUUAAGUGUGCCGCCUGAGGACUACGGCCGCAAGGCUAAA
rnacentral:rRNA from 1 species